GCGUAAUAGCUCACUGGUCGAGUCGGCCUGCGCGGAAGAUGUAACGGGGCUAAACCAUGCACCGAAGCUGCGGCAGCGACACUGUGUGUUGUUGGGUAGGGGAGCGUUCUGUAAGCCUGUGAAGGUGUGUCGUGAGGCAUGCUGGAGGUAUCAGAAGUGCGAAUGCUGACAUAAGUAACGAUAAAGCGGGUGAAAAGCCCGCUCGCCGGAAGACCAAGGGUUCCUGUCCAACGUUAAUCGGGGCAGGGUGAGUCGACCCCUAAGGC
rnacentral:rRNA from 4 species